GACAGAGGGUGCAAACGUUGUUCGGAAUUACUGGGCGUAAAGCGAGUGUAGGCGGUCUGAAAAGUCGGGUGUGAAAGCCCCGGGCUCAACCCGGGAAGUGCACUCGAAACUGCCAGGCUAGAGUGUCGGAGAGGUUGGUGGAAUUCUCGGUGUAGAGGUGAAAUUCGUAGAUAUCGUAAGGAAGACCAGUGGCGAAGGCGGGUCUCUGGACAGUUCCUGACGCUGAGGCACGAAGGUCAGGGGGAGCAAACGGGG
rnacentral:rRNA from 1 species